AGUCUGGUGCCAGCAGCCGCGGUAACACCAGCUCCAAUAGCGUAUAUUAAAGUUGUUGCAGUUAAAAAGCUCGUAGUUGGAUAUCUGGGGCGGAUGCCUGGCCUGCUUCCUUCGGGAAUGUGUGCGCCGGUGCAUCCGUCCCAUCCUUCUGAGAAGUGCAUCUAAACUUCACCGUUCGGGUGUAACGACUCGGAUCUUUUACUUUGAAAAAAUUAGAGUGUUCAAAGCAGGCGUUUGCUUGAAUACAUUAGCAUGGAAUAAUGAAAUAGGACUCCGGUUUUAUUUUGUUGGUUUAUAGGACCGAAGUAAUGAUUAAUAGGGACAGUUGGGGGUGCUUGUAUUGGGCGGCCAGAGGUGAAAUUCUUGGAUUCGCUCAAGACAAACUUAUGCGAAAGCAUUCACCAAGGAUGUCUUCUUUAAUCAAGAACGAAAGUUGGGGGAUCGAAGACGAUCAGAUACCGUCGUAGUCUCAACCAUAAACUAUGCCAACUAGGGAUCAGUGGGGGCUUUCGUACUCCAUUGGCACCUUACGAGAAAUCAAAGUCUUUGGGUUCCGGGGGGAGUCUGGUCGCAAGGCUGAAACUUAAAGGAAUUGACGGAAGGGCACCACAACGGCGUGGAGCCUGCGGCUUAAUUUGACCCAACACGGGAAAACUUACCAGGUCCGGACAUAGGAAGGAUUGACAGAUUGCAGAUCUUUCUUGAUUCUAUGGAUGGUGGUGCAUGGCCGUUCUUAGUUGGUGGAGUGAUUUGUCUGGUUAAUUCCAUUAACGAACGAGACCUCAGCCUACUAAAUAGUCAAGUGAAUAUUUUAUUCUCUGUGACUUCUUAGAGGGACUGUCCAUUUCUAGUGGACGGAAGUUUGAGGCAAUAACAGGUCUGUGAUGCCCUUAGAUGUCCUGGGCUGCACGCGCGCUACACUGUUGCAGGCAACGAGCAUUUUCCUUGACUGAAAGGUCUGGGUAAUCUUUGAAACUGCAACGUGCUGGGGCUAGAUUAUUGCAAUUGUUAGUCUUUAACCAGGAAUGCCUAGUAAACGCGAGUCAUCAGCUCGCAUUGAUUACGUCCCUGCCCUUUGUACACACCGCCCGUCGCUCCUACCGAUUGAAUGAUCCGGUAAAAUCUAUGGACUGGACGAUUUAGGUUGGCAACAGUCUAUUUCGUUCGGGAAGUUGAUUGAACCUUAUCAUUUAGAGGAAGGAGAAGUC
rnacentral:rRNA from 1 species